rnacentral:rRNA from 1 species
UAGGUAGGUGGUCUCAUUUGUCAGGGGUGAAAGCCUUGGGCUUAACUCAAGAAGUGCCCCUGAAACGGUGAGACUAGAGUGCUGGAGAGGGUCGUGGAAUUCCCGGUGUAGCGGUGAAAUGCGUAGAGAUCGGGAGGAACACCAGAGGCGAAGGCGGCGACCUGGACAGUUACUGACACUCAACUACGAAAGCGUGGGGAGCAAACAGGAUUAGAUACCCUGGUAGUCCACGCUGUAAACGAUGGGUACUAGGCUUGGUGGGUCUUGACCCCUGCUGAGCCGGCGCUAACGCAAUAAGUACCCCGCCUGGGAAGUACGGUCGCAAGACUAAA